UACGUAGGGUGCAAGCGUUGUCCGGAAUUAUUGGGCGUAAAGAGCUCGUAGGCGGUUUGUCGCGUCUGCUGUGAAAACUCGAGGCUCAACCUCGAGACGCCGAUGGAAACCAUCUGGCUAGAGUCCGGAAGAGGAGAGUGGAAUUCCUGGUGUAGUGGUGAAAUGCGCAGAUAUCAGGAGGAACACCGGUGGCGAAGGCGGGUCUCUGGGCCGAUACUGACGCUGAGGAGCGAAAGCGUGGGGAGCGAACAGG
rnacentral:rRNA from 1 species